UUCUCUGCCUGCUCAGCACCCUCGUCAGAAAUUCCAAAGAAGACAGAAGCAGGAGGUGCUUCACUACUCCCUCCUUCCUCUGAAGAUUCAACCCUCCUGUUCUCAGUCCCUGGGCCAUGCCUAUCACUUGCCCCCUGGGGCCGUUUUGAGCUCAGGGUCAGGGCCUUGGUCAUAUCAGCAGCACAGCCAAGAGAGGAGGAGGAAGAGGGAGAAUGCUCCCAUGACUUGGAUUCUGGGAGCUCUGGGGGUGGGGUUGCUGCGAUUUGGGAAGUUUGGAUGUUAGGAGAUUCUGUCAUGGAUUCUCUUGAUUCAGAAAGGUAGAAAUCAUUGUUUACUUGGUAUGAUACUGACACUUCCUGUUCACCAUGAUCCAGGAAAGGUCCUUCACCAUCUGCAGGACCCAGAAGGGCAAAGUUCCUGGGAGCCAUCCGAACCUGACCAGAGAGGACUGUGUUCGAUGUCUCCAGCUUGUGGUUCCAUCUCUCGUGCUGUUUUCACAAUGUCCAAUGCUAUUUUCCUUCAUCAAGACAAAGAUAUGUCAUGAUUAGUCAUAUAUACCAGACUCCAGUAUUUGUUCACUUAUUUAUCUGUUUGUAUAAAACCCAUAAAAAAUAAAUAAAAUGUCAAAUUAUUUAGAAUGAAAUAAGAAAAAAAAGAACAAGAUAGACAUUUGGAAUAUGAUGUCACAGUGUUAUUCUAUACUAAAUUUCAAAAGUAUUCCUUAUUUAAGAAGCUCUUAAAUUUUUAUUGUUAUAGGGCCAGCUGUUGGUAGCCCUAGUUUAGCGAAAGAAAACUCCUCAAAGGUCACAGAAAAAUACUUAUAUCUGAAAAACAUUCAUAAAAAUAAACAAAUGAAAGUCA